rnacentral:rRNA from 1 species
UACGUAGGUGACAAGCGUUGUCCGGAUUUACUGGGCGUAAAGGGCUCGUAGGCGGCCAACUAAGUCAGACGUGAAAAUCCCUCGGCUUAACCGGGGAACUGCAUCUGAUACUGGAUGGCUUGAGUUCGGGAGAGGGAAGCGGAAUUCUCGGUGUAGAGGUGAAAUUCGUAGAUAUCGAGAGGAACACCGGUGGCGAAGGCGGCUUCCUGGACAGUGACUGACGCUGAGACGCGAAAGCGUGGGGAGCAAACAGG